rnacentral:rRNA from 1 species
AACGUAGGACACAAGCGUUACCCGGAGUUACUGGGCGUAAAGGGCGUUUAGGCGGGUGAUUAAGUUCGCUAUGAAAGCGCCAGGCUAAACCUGGCGAGGCUGGCGGAUACUGGUCAUCUGGAGUGAGGGAGAGGGAAGUAGAAUUCCGCGUGUAGUGGUGAAAUGCGUAGAGAUGCGGAGGAAUACCAGUGGCGAAGGCGACUUCCUGGCCCUCAACUGACGCUGAAGCGCGAAAGCAUGGGGAGCGAACGGG